AGAAUCAACGCUGGCGGCGUGCCCAACACAUGCAAGUCGAACGAGAAAGGGUAGCAAUACCCGAGUAAAGUGGCGCACGGGUGAGUAACACGUGACUAACCUACCCUGGAGUGGGGGAUAACUGAGGGAAACCUUAGCUAAUACCGCAUAAUACCUACGGGUCAAAGGAGCAAUUCGCUUUGGGAGGGGGUCGCGGCCGAUUAGUUAGUUGGCGGGGUAAUGGCCCACCAAGACAGUGAUCGGUAUCC
rnacentral:rRNA from 1 species